rnacentral:rRNA from 1 species
AUUGAACGCUAGCGGGAUGCUUUACACAUGCAAGUCGAACGGCAGCGCGGACUUCGGUCUGGCGGCGAGUGGCGGACGGGUGAGUAAUGUAUCGGAACGUGCCCAGUAGCGGGGGAUAACUACGCGAAAGCGUGGCUAAUACCGCAUACGCCCUACGGGGAAAGGGGGGGAGUCAUUAGACCUCUCACUAUUGGAGACGGCCGAUAUCGGAUUAGCUAGUUGGUGGGGUAAAGGGCCUACCAAGGCG